rnacentral:rRNA from 1 species
CUUCGACGGGUACGGGCUGAGAAACAGUAGCCCGGAGAUGGACUUUUAGACACCAGUCCAGGCCCCACGGGGCGCAGCAGGCGCGAAAACUUCGCAAUGCGGGAAACCGCGACGAGGGAAUCCCAAGUGCGUGCACAAUGUGUACGCUGAUUCAUUGUCUAAAAAACAAAGAGAGUAAGGGCUGGGUAAGACCGGUGCCAGCCGCCGCGGUAAUACCGGCAGCUCGAGUGGUAGCCGUUUUUAUUGGGCUUAAAGCAUCCGUAGCCGGUCGGGUAAAUCCCUGGGUAAAUCGUACGGCUUAACCGUGCGAAUUCCGGGGACACUGUCUGACUUGGGACCGGGAGAGGUUAGAGGUACUCUUUGGGUAGGGGUAAAAUCCUGUAAUCCUUAGAGGACGACCAGUGGCGAAGGCGUCUAACCAGAACGGAUCCGACGGUGAGGGAUGAAGCCCUGGGGCACGAACGGGAUUAGAUACCCCGGUAGUCCAGGGUGUAAACGCUGCAGACUUGGUGUUGGUUGUCCUACGAGGGCAACCAGUGCCGGAGAGAAAUUGUUAAGUCUGCCGCCUGGGGAGUACGCUCGCAAGAGUGAAACUUAAAGGAAUUGGCGGGGGAGCACAGCAACGGGAG